rnacentral:lncRNA from 7 species
UUCAUCUUGUAGGCAAUACUUUAAAGCUAUCUGUGUUGCUGUAAGGCUGAAGAGAGAGACAGAAAAUUAAAGCCUUCAUAUUAUUUUCAUCUCAAACAGAGAAAAUAAAUUAAGAGAGGCCAGAAAGAAAAUGAAGACCUUAAACAACUAGAUUCCUCUAUUGGAAAGAAGCUUAAUUUCACUGAUUAAUUUAUUUUAAUCUCUUUCAAUGUUUUAUUCACCCAAUGCAUGUGAUUAGGCAGUAAUCUAUUACUAUUAAUUAGCAGUAUUAAAUGCUUUGGCAGUGUUCUGAUUAAAUGACAACUUGAAUACCAAUAAAGAUCAAAACACAGGAACAGCUAACUCUUAUUCUUACUUGAACAAUGUACAGUAGUUAUUUCCUUAAACGUUCAGUCUAGCAGUUAGUUUUGGUGUAUGCAUAAGAUGAUUGUAAUCAGACAUUGCUGUAGAUUAUAAAGUACUGGUCAUGUUUUGAUGUUCAGCUAUUCUCUCUUCUGUUUAGCUAGUAAACCAAAAAUGUAUUAGUAAAAAAUAUUUUGCACAGUGCUACAAAGGUUAUUAUUUAUUUCACAACAGUGGAUAGUAAUAUUGCAGAUGCUGUAUGGAGGUGUAGGAGGAUUGAUUCUUAAAUCAUGCCUGGAAAAUCACUGCUGUUCUAUUCUGAAAUACAAUUAAAGAAACUAUUUC